UACAGAGGUCUCAAGCGUUGUUCGGAUUCAUUGGGCGUAAAGGGUGCGUAGGCGGCGCGGUAAGUCGGGUGUGAAAUCUCGGAGCUUAACUCCGAAACUGCAUUCGAUACUGCCGUGCUUGAGGACUGGAGAGGAGACUGGAAUUUACGGUGUAGCGGUGAAAUGCGUAGAUAUCAGGAGGAACACCUGUGGUGUAGACAGCUUACUGGACCACUUCUGACGCUGAGACACGAAAGCGUGGGUAGCAAACGGG
rnacentral:rRNA from 1 species